GUGCUGACUUCAGCAGCACAUAUACUAAAAUUGGAACCAUACCGAGAAAAUUAGCAUGGCCCCUGUGCAACGAUGACACACAAAUUCGUGAAGCAUUCCAUAUUUUU